rnacentral:rRNA from 1 species
AUUGAACGCUGGCGGCAGGCCUAACACAUGCAAGUCGAACGAGUGGCGGACGGGUGUGUAAUGUCUGGGAAUCUGCCUGAUGGAGGGGGACAUCUACUGGAAACGGUAGCUAAUACCGCAUACCCUCAGAAGUGCCCAGAUGGGUUUAGCUUGUGGGUGGGGUAACGGCUCACCAAGGCGACGAUCCCUAGCUGGUCUGAGAGGAUGACCAGCCACACUGGAACUGAGACACGGCCCAGACUCCGACGGGAGGCAGCAGUGGGGAAUAUUGCACAAUGGGCGCAAGCCUGAUGCAGCCAUGCCGCGUGUAUGAAGAAGGCCCUCGGGUUGUAAAGUACUUUCAGCUGGGAGGCGUUACCCGCAGAAGAAGCACCGGCUAACUCCGUGCCAGCCGCCGCGGUAAUAC